UUAACUUAAAUUUGUAUGCAGUUGGAACGUUUGCCCACGUUUGCCGCUAGGGGCGCUGUUGCAACUCCAUACAAAUUUGAGUUA
rfam:Bombyx mori DNA, contig: Bm_scaf74_contig31590, strain: p50T/Dazao, build 2, whole genome shotgun sequence.